rnacentral:misc_RNA from 1 species
AGAGUCAGACCAUUUAAACACACGUCUGUUUUGAACAUGUCACCGAUCGUGUGUUNCUGCAAUCCCGUGGAGCGGUUGUCAUUCCCAUGAGUUGUACCUGGAGGAGAUGUCGCUAUCGAUCCAGNCCGGACGCGUGCAUUUAACAAAGAACUUUUUGUUGUUGUUCUUUUUCGUGGCAGCUGAUGUGUUGGUGUAUGUGGCACUGAUCUCCCCGUAGAAAGGGAGGGGAUGUUCCCGUCCUUUUUUUUUUUCAAACAAAAAAGAAAGGACAAACACAACUCUUUUGACAUAAUCUUCUUUCUUCAAGGGAAGUUGGUUGUUGGACUGAGUACAAAGACAAAAAAAAACAACUUUUAACAAUGGAUCUCUUGGUUCUCGCAACGAUGAAGAACGCAGCGAAAUGCGAUAGGUAAUGUGAAUUUGCAGAAUUUCCGUGAAUCAUCAAAUCUUUGAACGCAAAUUGCGCUUCUGGGUUUUCCCAGGAGCACACCUGUCUGAGUAUCAUUUAAUUAUUCUCAAAAAAGAAUAAACAACUUGUUUUUCUUUUUUUUGGAGCGUGAAGGUUGAGAUACGGAGUCUCAUCCUUUGAAAUGAAGGGAAAGAUAUAAAAACCGGAUCGCCGUUGUUGAAAUAUCAGCACGAUGCGUUAAAUUGAUUUUUUACACAUCGGUUAGCAAUAGGAUAUUUUGUAUACGGAGGAUUGAAAAUGAAGACGGUUUUUGUUAUUCAAAAAAAAAUUUUUUUUUGAAGUGUGAUGAUCUCAGAUCAGGUGAGACUACCCGCUGAACUUAAGCAUAUCAUAAGCGGAGGAACAGAAACUAACAAGGAUUCCCCUAGUAACGGCGAGUGAAGAGGGAAACAGCUCAAAUUUGAACAUCUGGGAGCAAUCCCCGAAUUGUACGUUUAGAGAAGCGUUUCGGUGAUGGACUGGGUACAAAGUUCUUUGGACCAAGACAUCACAGAGGGUGAGAAUCCCGUUUGUCGAUCCGGAUCCCGUCACCAU